GAAAAAAAUAGUUUUAAAGUCAAAAUUUGUUCAAAAAAAGUAAAGAAAAGGGUUAAAGUGUAAUUUUUCAAUACUUCAAGAUUAAUUACCACUGUUUUUAUUUCAGAAUUUAUUGCUCUUAUUUGUUUUUGAUGACACUAGUACGGACGAUGAAUUCACUGACGAGACUUACAUACCUUCAACACAUUGAAAAUUGACGUAACUAUUUUUUACUAACUCCUAACUUACUUAAAGACUAACUGAUUGGGACGCGGAAUUCAAUGCAAUUCUACAUCCUCGUGGUGCAUUCUGGAUUAUAAACGGGGGGAGGUAGACCCCCCUCCCAUAGUAAAAAAUUCUUGUUUUUAACUUUUCUAUACAAAUCCUUCAUCAAACUUUGUCGCCAAAGUUAUCGUACUCUCCCCCUUGUUUUUUUCUUAUCAAUGUUGUAUAGGAAGACUACCGUUUUGCCUAUGUAACCAAAAAAUAUAACCAAUCCAAAAUACAAAAACAAAGAAACAAAUGUGUUUUCCUUAUUCACUAUAGUCUUUCUAUAUGUCACAAAAAAUAUCUAGAUGCCCCCCUAUUCGACUUCUACCAUGAGAGUACUAUGGUUUUCAUAUAUAAGGCCACCAUUUAUUUUAAAUUUUUCUUUUAAUUAUUAAGCUAACUACCUAGCUGUACAAAAGAUUCUAUACAUUGCAUUUCCACUUGUAUCGCAUACUGUAUUGUAUUUAUAAAUUCCCUCUUAUUAUAUAAAUCAUAACUUUAACUUGUAUGAAUGUGUGUUAUUACACUCAGACGUUUUUGGAAAGACGCAAAUAAGUGCGAUACAGAAAGUAGGUGAAAUAGAAAUACUUUAAAAAGUCUCAACCGGUAGAGUUCUGGGUUCAAGAUUGUCUUGGGUGGUUUUUGACGUUUUUUUCUAUUGUUACCGAGUAAAAAAGAAAUAUGCAAGGAGAUAAUUCCAAGUGGAAAAAAGAACUUAUAAACCAACUUAUUUUGAAUUUCGAAAUGUAUCCUAUUUUGUAUGAACCCCGUCAUCCGGACUACAUUAAUAGGGUAAAAAAGAGCGAUGCAUGCUAAAGUAUUGGAAGCUUUGGCUUUGUUUGAGCUAAACAUACGUUUUGAAAUAAUAAAAUAAAUAUGGACACACUGCGAGUCCAAUUCGCUAAAGAGUAUCGCGAAAUUGAAUCGUCAAAAAAAGUGGAGCGGGCAUGGAUGAUUUAUACGAUCCAAAGCUUUAGUGUUUUGAACAAAUGGUUUUUUUGAAAACACACUGCAAAAUUAGAAAUCCCACUUUUAAUAUUGAAGAGGUUUGCCAAGUCGUUCCACUGAGGAUUUUGAUGCGGAAGAAUAAGAGGAGGAAUUCCAUGUUACGCAAAAAGAAAAGGGUUGUCAACUCCUUCACUUGUUUGAUGAUGGGCCUUGCAAAUUGUUUUCGUUUGGAUUUGUGUUGUGUUUCAUAGAAACGCCUUUGUUAAGUGUUCAACGUUUGCGGCUCUUAAGUUCAUCGGUGAUUG